rnacentral:rRNA from 1 species
CCUACGGGAGGCAGCAGUGGGGAAUUUUGGACAAUGGGCGCAAGCCUGAUCCAGCAAUGCCGCGUGAGUGAAGAAGGCCUUCGGGUUGUAAAGCUCUUUUGUCAGGGAAGAAACGGGUGGAGCUAAUAUCUCUGCCUAAUGACGGUACCUGAAGAAUAAGCACCGGCUAACUACGUGCCAGCAGCCGCGGUAAUACGUAGGGUGCAAGCGUUAAUCGGAAUUACUGGGCGUAAAGCGUGCGCAGGCGGUUUUGUAAGUCUGUCGUGAAAUCCCCGGGCUCAACCUGGGAAUUGCGAUGGAGACUGCAAGGCUAGAAUCUGGCAGAGGGGGGUAGAAUUCCACGUGUAGCAGUGAAAUGCGUAGAGAUGUGGAGGAACACCGAUGGCGAAGGCAGCCCCCUGGGUCAAGAUUGACGCUCAUGCACGAAAGCGUGGGGAGCAAACAGGAUUAGAUACCCUGGUAGUCCACGCCCUAAACGAUGUCUACUAGUUGUCGGGUCUUAAUUGACUUGGUAACGCAGCUAACGCGUGAAGUAGACCGCCUGGGGGNGGUACGGUCGCGAGAAGUAAACGUACAAGUAGAAGUUAGUACGACGUAGAGACGUAGACCGACGGACGACGACGAGGGGAGGAGG